CAGCACCACGGGAAUACGAAGGGGGCUAGCGUUGCUCGGAAUUACUGGGCGUAAAGGGAGCGUAGGCGGAUGAAUUAGUCAGGGGUGAAAUCCCGGGGCUCAACCUCGGAACUGCCUUUGGUACUGUUCACCUUGAGUAUGGGAGAGGUGUGUGGAACUCCGAGUGUAGAGGUGAAAUUCGUAGAUAUUCGGAAGAACACCAGUGGCGAAGGCGACACACUGGCCCAUUACUGACGCUGAGGCUCGAAAGCGUGGGGAGCAAACAGGAUUAGAUACCCCAGUAGUCCCUGUCUCUUAUACC
rnacentral:rRNA from 1 species